rnacentral:rRNA from 1 species
GGAGGAAUAUUGGUCAAUGGGCGGAAGCCUGAACCAGCCAUGCCGCGUGCGGGAAGGAGGCCCUAUGGGCUGUGAACCGCUUUUGCCUGGGGGCAAUAAGGGCGUCGCGCACGUCCGAUGAGAGUACCAGGCGAAUAAGCAUCGGCUAACUCCGUGCCAGCAGCCGCGGUAAUACGGGGGAUGCGAGCGUUAUCCGGAUUUAUUGGGUUUAAAGGGUGCGCAGGCGGCGCGCCAAGUCAGCGGUCAAAGUUCCGGGCUCAACCCGGUGUCGCCGUUGAAACUGGCGUGCUCGAGUGCGUGCGAGGAAGGCGGAAUGCGUUGUGUAGCGGUGAAAUGCAUAGAUAUGACGCAGAACUCCGAUUGCGAAGGCAGCUUUCCAGCGCGCUACUGACGCUGAGGCACGAAAGCGUGGGGAUCGAACAGGGAUUAGAUACCCUGGUAGU